UUGCACCUGUCGGUUCUAAGGCAAACAAGGAGAGAAAAACUUCUCAAGCCCUAAGUGAAAUCCCUUCGUUCACACAGGAGACCCUCUCGGUUUCCUCUAGCCCGCACAACUUCUCACUUUUCUUCAAGCCGAUUCCUUCCAUUUCCUAAGCUUAAAAUCCAACCGAAGUUCUUCAAGGAAAAUGAUUCUGUAUGGAUGAAGAGGCCAUGGAGCCAGACACUACCGAGGAGGGAGGGGCCAAUGCUUAGUGUUCCCCUGUCGGUUCGACCUUUUAAUGAUAAUGGUUUAUAUUUUUUUAUGUUUUACGAUGGUUCCCAUGUUGGGACGUUUUGUUGGAUUAAAUUUAAGACAAUAUAUAUCCUUUGGGUAUGAUGUAAAUACUAUGGUGGGGUGAUGGUAACCCCACAUACAAUGGUUUAACACAUUUUUGUAUGUGUUGUAGGGAUUGAGUCCCCUCUUAUUUAGAACCAGUUAUGUUUUGAUGAAUGAAUGAUGGACUCUGAGAGUCCUUUAUUUAAAA